rnacentral:lncRNA from 1 species
AGCAAAUAAGGAACGAAUAAGAAGCAGGGUAUUAACUGAGCGCUGGAACGAGUACAUACGCGCUAAUAGUGGUAUUUCAUCUAAAAGAACACAUUAUUACCACCAGAGAUAUGAACUGAAUUAAAAAUCCUUUUCUAAAAGGUGCAACGUACAACAAACGUAUUAUAAGUGAAUAGGUAACGAAUAGGUAACAGGGUAUUUAUCGAGCGCUGGAACGGGUACAUACGCGCUAAUAGGAUCAUUUCAUCUCUAAGAACACAUUGUUACCACCAGAGACACGGACACCAUUGAAAAUCCUUUUCUGAAAGGUGCAACGUACAACAAACGUAUUAUAAGUGAAUAGGUAACGAAUAGGUAACAGGGUAUAAAGCGAGCGCUGGAACGGGUACAUGCGUGCUAAUAGAGUCAUUUCAUCUCUAAGAACACAUUGUUACCACCAGAGACAUGGGCACAAUUGAAAAACGAUUUAUUUCAAGGUGCAGCGUAUAACCCGCGCAUUAAAAGCGAAUAGGGAACGAAUAAGUAACAGGGUAUUAUCCGAGCGCUGGAACGAGUACAUAC